AAUACUCCUGACUGACCGAUAGUGAACCAGUACCGUGAGGGAAAGGCGAAAAGAACCCCGGCGAGGGGAGUGAAAAAGAACCUGAAACCGUGUACGUACAAGCAGUGGGAGCACGCUUAGGCGUGUGACUGCGUACCUUUUGUAUAAUGGGUCAGCGACUUAUAUUCUGUAGCAAGGUUAACCGAAUAGGGGAGCCGAAGGGAAACCGAGUCUUAACUGGGCGUUAAGUUGCAGGGUAUAGACCCGAAACCCGGUGAUCUAGCCAUGGGCAGGUUGAAGGUUGGGUAACACUAACUGGAGGACCGAACCGACUAAUGUUGAAAAAUUAGCGGAUGACUUGUGGCUGGGGGUGAAAGGCCAAUCAAACCGGGAGAUAGCUGGUUCUCCCCGAAAGCUAUUUAGGUAGCGCCUCGUGAAUUCAUCUCCGGGGGUAGAGCACUGUUUCGGCAAGGGGGUCAUCCCGACUUACCAACCCGAUGCAAACUGCGAAUACCGGAGAAUGUUAUCACGGGAGACACACGGCGGGUGCUAACGUCCGUCGUGAAGAGGGAAACAACCCAGACCGCCAGCUAAGGUCCCAAAGUCAUGGUUAAGUGGGAAACGAUGUGGGAAGGCCCAGACAGCCAGGAUGUUGGCUUAGAAGCAGCCAUCAUUUAAAGAAAGCGUAAUAGCUCACUGGUCGAGUCGGCCUGCGCGGAAGAUGUAACGGGGCUAAACCAUGCACCGAAGCUGCGGCAGCGACGCUGAUGCGUUGUUGGGUAGGGGAGCGUUCUGUAAGCCUGCGAAGGUGUGCUGUGAGGCAUGCUGGAGGUAUCAGAAGUGCGAAUGCUGACAUAAGUAACGAUAAAGCGGGUGAAAAGCCCGCUCGCCGGAAGACCAAGGGUUCCUGUCCAACGUUAAUCGGGGCAGGGUGAGUCGACCCCUAAGGCGAGGCCGAAAGGCGUAGUCGAUGGGAAACAGGUUAAUAUUCCUGUACUUGGUGUUACUGCGAAGGGGGGACGGAGAAGGCUAUGUUGGCCGGGCGACGGUUGUCCCGGUUUAAGCGUGUAGGCUGGUUUUCCAGGCAAAUCCGGAAAAUCAAGGCUGAGGCGUGAUGACGAGGCACUGCGGUGCUGAAGCAACAAAUGCCCUGCUUCCAGGAAAAGCCUCUAAGCAUCAGGUAACAUCAAAUCGUACCCCAAACCGACACAGGUGGUCAGGUAGAGAAUACCAAGGCGCUUGAGAGAACUCGGGUGAAGGAACUAGGCAAAAUGGUGCCGUAACUUCGGGAGAAGGCACGCUGAUAUGUAGGUGAAGUCCCUCGCGGAUGGAGCUGAAAUCAGUCGAAGAUACCAGCUGGCUGCAACUGUUUAUUAAAAACACAGCACUGUGCAAACACGAAAGUGGACGUAUACGGUGUGACGCCUGCCCGGUGCCGGAAGGUUAAUUGAUGGGGUUAGCGCAAGCGAAGCUCUUGAUCGAAGCCCCGGUAAACGGCGGCCGUAACUAUAACGGUCCUAAGGUAGCGAAAUUCCUUGUCGGGUAAGUUCCGACCUGCACGAAUGGCGUAAUGAUGGCCAGGCUGUCUCCACCCGAGACUCAGUGAAAUUGAACUCGCUGUGAAGAUGCAGUGUACCCGCGGCAAGACGGAAAGACCCCGUGAACCUUUACUAUAGCUUGACACUGAACAUUGAGCCUUGAUGUGUAGGAUAGGUGGGAGGCUUUGAAGUGUGGACGCCAGUCUGCAUGGAGCCGACCUUGAAAUACCACCCUUUAAUGUUUGAUGUUCUAACGUUGACCCGUAAUCCGGGUUGCGGACAGUGUCUGGUGGGUAGUUUGACUGGGGCGGUCUCCUCCUAAAGAGUAACGGAGGAGCACGAAGGUUGGCUAAUCCUGGUCGGACAUCAGGAGGUUAGUGCAAUGGCAUAAGCCAGCUUGACUGCGAGCGUGACGGCGCGAGCAGGUGCGAAAGCAGGUCAUAGUGAUCCGGUGGUUCUGAAUGGAAGGGCCAUCGCUCAACGGAUAAAAGGUACUCCGGGGAUAACAGGCUGAUACCGCCCAAGAGUUCAUAUCGACGGCGGUGUUUGGCACCUCGAUGUCGGCUCAUCACAUCCUGGGGCUGAAGUAGGUCCCAAGGGUAUGGCUGUUCGCCAUUUAAAGUGGUACGCGAGCUGGGUUUAGAACGUCGUGAGACAGUUCGGUCCCUAUCUGCCGUGGGCGCUGGAGAACUGAGGGGGGCUGCUCCUAGUACGAGAGGACCGGAGUGGACGCAUCACUGGUGUUCGGGUUGUCAUGCCAAUGGCACUGCCCGGUAGCUAAAUGCGGAAGAGAUAAGUGCUGAAAGCAUCUAAGCACGAAACUUGCC
rnacentral:rRNA from 1 species